rnacentral:rRNA from 1 species
GUACUCAGUUCGGAUUGUAGUCUGCAACUCGACUACAUGAAGCUGGAAUCGCUAGUAAUCGCGAAUCAGAAUGUCGCGGUGAAUACGUUCCCGGGUCUUGUACACACCGCCCGUCACACCAUGGGAGUCGGGAAUGCCCGAAGUCAGUGACCCAACCGGAAGGAGGGGAGCUGCCGAAGGCAGGCUCGAUAACUGGGGUGAAGUCGUAACAAGGUAGC